rnacentral:rRNA from 3 species
UAGCGGCGGACGGGUGAGUAACACGUGGGUAACCUACCUAUAAGACUGGGAUAACUCCGGGAAACCGGGGCUAAUACCGGAUAAUAUUUUGAACCGCAUGGUUCAAUAGUGAAAGACGGUUUCGGCUGUCACUUAUAGAUGGACCCGCGCCGUAUUAGCUAGUUGGUAAGGUAACGGCUUACCAAGGCGACGAUACGUAGCCGACCUGAGAGGGUGAUCGGCCACACUGGAACUGAGACACGGUCCAGACUCCUACGGGAGGCAGCAGUAGGGAAUCUUCCGCAAUGGGCGAAAGCCUGACGGAGCAACGCCGCGUGAGUGAUGAAGGUCUUCGGAUCGUAAAACUCUGUUGUUAGGGAAGAACAAAUUUGUUAGUAACUGAACAAGUCUUGACGGUACCUAACCAGAAAGCCACGGCUAACUACGUGCCAGCAGCCGCGUAA